CUUGAUAUCCUUAGUUGUCAGUCAGUGGCAGGAUGCACUCUUGACAUCAUGCCACACACUCCACACAAUCAGUCAUAUGAGAGCAUGUCCUGCUGGUAUGCCAGAUGAUUCAAAUAGUAAUACUUUUUUCUUAUUUAGAGACAUUAAACUCAUGAAAAGUAACAAUUUACUGGAAAUAUAUGCUUUCACAACAACAAAAUUCUUCACCUGCAUCUAUUGAUUACAAAAUAAUUAUGUUCAUGAAAUUAGUUUUUGAAAGUAAAUUAUCUGAAAACAGCAUAUUGUUGGAUUUGCACUCACAAAAGUAUAGAUAGGAUUUACUCUUGAGAUAAUAUUUCAAAUACCAGUAACUCCAAACUCUUCCUAUGAUCUUGAUCAGGCCAAUGAAUUAGAUCAGUUAUGAGAAAGAGCAAAGAUCUUUUAUGGCACCACAAAGGAAAACCAAUUGUCUUUCAUGCAGCAUGGUGUGCUGAAGAUUAAAUUUUCUUUCUUAGGCAUCUAGAAGCUGAGCAGUAAGGAAAUGCUUGUGAAUGAAUGCACACAAUAGUCAUGUCUUAGCUUUCCACCUUUGAGAAGAAUUUUACUCAAAAAUAUAGAUAUUUGAAGACAAAAUAAUCACAUAUAGUGAGAAUAUGGACACAAGAGCUAAAUUAGGCUUACAUGAUAGAGUUUGGUGAUGUCUCCAUGAGACAAGAAACAAAACUGUGACUCUUGACAGAUUAGUUGAUACCUUUUCUGGAUUGUACUUGUUGCAAAGUUGUACCCUUCCUAUGCUAAAUCCUAGCCACAUUGGGCAAUAAUCCACUGUGCAGGUACCCUAGACAAUGGACUUUAAGGCUCUUUCGUUGGAUCAAUACCUAAAACCUCUUCACAAAGUUUUUAUGUGCGAUAUUAAUGUAUUAAAAAGGGUUUUAUUUCAGAUUGAGGAGCCACAACAUCAAAAGAAGGGUUCUAUUGUGAGUGCUGAGACUUCAGUGUAACCAUCAGUGACAUCCAGUGUCCCUACAAACAUUUUAUAAUUGGAAAGUGUAUAGAGCCAGAACAAUGCUUACAGUUUAAUAAGAGAAUGGUCGAAACAGUGACCCUUCUUGAACUUCGCCUUGGGAAAGAGGAAGAAAUCAUAUGAAGCUAGAUCUGGUGAGUAAGGAUAAAGAACAGCAACCAUGUUGAUAUAGGUGAAAGUAAAAUGUUUUAAAACAAAUUGUGAGUGGCUCUAUUAUCAUAAAGGAACAAAUUUUCUCCUUCAGAUGUCUCAUAAUUUUACAGUAAAACUCUGCACUGACACUGAGGUGAUGAAUUUAUUGUGCAAAAUCACUUAAAUGGUGAAGAAAACUAAUCAUGUAACGGAUUGCAUUUCUAACUUGCCUUGUCUUGUUUGGUUUUAGAUUGUCCAGGUUCUUCUACAGUGAAGACUUUUCUUUGAUAUAUAGUUCACAUACAAAGAUCCAUCUAAUGUCACUAAUGAUUUAGACAUAAAGAUUGUAUUCUUCCACACAUACUUAUAGAUAUAAGGCAUUCAACAUCAUAAGUAGAACUCGUGUCAAAAUGAAGAAAGUGAAAAAAAAUGCGCUCAAAGUUUUGACAAACUUCUGACAACCACAA